UACAGAGGGCGCGAGCGUUGUCCGGAAUCACUGGGCGUAAAGAGCGUGUAGGCGGCCAGGUAGGUCUGGUGUGAAAACUCGAGGCUUAACCUCGAGAUGUCAUCGGAAACCAUUUGGCUAGAGUCCGGAAGAGGAGAGUGGAAUUCCUGGUGUAGCGGUGAAAUGCGCAGAUAUCAGGAAGAACACCAAUGGCGAAAGCAGCUCUCUGGGACGGUACUGACGCUGAGACGCGAAAGCGUGGGGAGCGAACAGG
rnacentral:rRNA from 1 species